rnacentral:misc_RNA from 1 species
AAGUCGUAACAAGGUUUCCGUAGGUGAACCUGCGGAAGGAUCAUUAACGAGUUAGGGUCUUCUAGGCCCGACCUCCCAACCCUAUGUUUAUUGAACCUCUGUUGCUUCGGCGGGCCCGUCUCACGGCCGCCGGAGGAGUUGCCGCGAGGCGCCCUCUGGCCAGCGUCCGCCGGUAGCCAACCACUUCAAACUCUGUAUGAAUCGUGUCAUGAUGUCUAAGUCUAUGAUUAAAUUAAAGCAAAACUUUCAACAACGGAUCUCUUGGUUCUG